GUCUACGGCCAUGCCACCCUGAACGCGUCCGAUCUCGUCUGAUCUCGGAAGCUAAGCAGGGUCAGGCCUGGUUAGUACUUGGAUGGGAGGAGAGUGACAUUUGACAAGCCUGCAAAUAAACCCACAGUUGGCU
rnacentral:rRNA from 1 species